UACGGAGGGCGCAAGCGUUGUUCGGAAUCACUGGGCGUAAAGCGCGUGUAGGCGGCUUGGCAAGUCGGAUGUGAAAUCCCGAGGCUCAACCUCGGAACUGAACUCGAAACUGCCUGGCUCGAGUCCCGGAGAGGGUGGCGGAAUUCACGGUGUAGGGGUGAAAUCCGUAGAUAUAGGGAGGAACACCAGUGGCGAAGGCGGCCACCUGGACGGUGACUGACGCUGAGACGCGAAAGCGUGGGGAGCAAACAGG
rnacentral:rRNA from 1 species